GUGAAUAUAGUUUACAAAAACAUUAGACUGUGAAUCUAAAAACAGAAGCUAAAACCUUCUUAUUUACC
rnacentral:tRNA from 1 species